GAUGAACGCUAGCGGCAGGCUUAAUACAUACAAGUCGUGGGGCAGCAUGUCCCGCAGCAAUGCGGGAUGAUGGCGACCGGCAAACGGGUGCGGAACACGUACACAACCUUCCUUUAAGUGGGGAAUAGCCCAGGGAAACUUGGAUUAAUACCCCGUAAUAUAUAGAAGCGGCAUCGCUUUUAUAUUAUAGCAGCAAUGCGCUUGAAGAUGGGUGUGCGGCUGAUUAGGUAGUUGGCGGGGUAAUGGCCCACCAAGCCGACGAUCAGUAACUGGUGUGAGAGCACGACCAGUCACACGGGCACUGAGACACGGGCCCGACUCCUACGGGAGGCAGCAGUAAGGAAUAUUGGUCAAUGGACGCAAGUCUGAACCAGCCAUGCCGCGUGGAGGAUGAAGGUCCUCUGGAUUGUAAACUUCUUUUAUCUGGGAAGAAAUCCAUUUUUUCUAAAAUGGUUGACGGUACCAGAUGAAUAAGCACCGGCUAACUCCGUGCCAGCAGCCGCAGUAAAAC
rnacentral:rRNA from 1 species